rnacentral:rRNA from 1 species
AUUGAACGCUGGCGGCAUGCCUUACACAUGCAAGUCGAACGGUAACGCGGGGGCAACCCUGGCGACGAGUGGCGAACGGGUGAGUAAUACAUCGGAACAUAUCCAGUAGCGGGGGAUAACCUAUCGAAAGAUUGGCUAAUACCGCAUACGAUCUACGGAUGAAAGCGGGGGACCGCAAGGCCUCGCACUAUUGGAGUGGCCGAUGUCAGAUUAGCUAGUUGGUGGGGUGAAAGCCUACCAAGGCGACGAUCUGUAGCUGGUCUGAGGGGACGAUCAGCCACACUGGAACGGAGACACGGGCCAGACUCCUAGGGGAGGCAGCAGUGGGGAAUUUUGGACAAUGGGCGCAAGCCUGAUCCAGCCAUGCCGCGUGAGUGAAGAAGGCCUUCGGGUUGUAAAGCUCUUUCGGUGAAGACGAAACGGUUAGUGUUAAUAACACUGACUAAUGACGGUACCGUAAGAAUAAGCACCGGCUAACUACGUGCCAGCCGCCGCCGUAA